UACGUAGGGUGCGAGCGUUAAUCGGAAUUACUGGGCGUAAAGCGUGCGUAGGUGGUUCGUUGUGUCUGUGGUGAAAGCCCCGGGCUUAACCUGGGAAUGGCCAUGGAAACUGGCGAGCUGGAGUCUGGCAGAGGGGGGUGGAAUUCCGCGUGUAGCAGUGAAAUGCGUAGAGAUGCGGAGGAACACCGAUGGCGAAGGCAGCCCCCCUGGGCUAAGACUGACGCUGAGGCACGAAAGCGUGGGGAGCAAACAGG
rnacentral:rRNA from 1 species